UUGUCUUGUUUGGUUUGAUUCAGGUCCCGAAGCUUCUUCUCCAAAUCUGGAAGAGUAGAGACAUGCAAUGAUGCUCAUAUUUGUUGUCGAUUGAAAUUCAUCAUUAGAUAUUGACAUUUCCAGGUCAGCUGGCUGAGUUUAUGCCUGUGAGGAAGUCUCUGAGUCCUGAAUUCUUGUUCACUUGAUAUUCUGCAAAGAGAGGCCAAGAAACCCAAACGAAACACAGAGGAACUGUACAUGGGAACACAUUGCCUGUACCUAGUGUCUUCUGUGGUGCGCACAUUAUCUUCUGGGGGUUCAUAUGUUGGCAGCAAUCUCUUUGGAGAGUAUACUGCUGACAGUCUCCUGCUGCUGUGGGUGAUCUAGCAUCUGUUUGAGAUUCCCG